GCAAAAUACAGAAGGAAAAAAUGGUAUUAAUUUAGGCUCCUAAGUAGUCACAACCUCUUAUAGAUGAGUGAGCAGAUUUUUGUUAUCAGUUAUUGGCUGUUGUAGCUUCUUCAUGUCUGGCUAGCUUUUAUCAGUGCAUCAACCUUCAACAAUAAUACCCAGGAACCUCAAUACCCAAUUUUUCCCCAUAACCAAAAACUAAUUUACCAAAUCCCUAUUAUCAAAAGCAAUAAAAUAGUGAUAAAGAGAAGAAUAAUAUUAUAUACUUGAUCAAAAUUACUGAGAAUAAAAAAACAUGCAUGAAUAUUGUCAGAAUAUGCGCAUACAUGCUUAAAGGUUUAGCUUCCAAUGGCAAAACUUUCUCCCAGAGCAGCAGUCUGAAUAUUUUACGAUCUCGGUAAUUAUUUAAGUGAAUCUUCAGAAAUAUUUUUGAGAAUUUUCUACAAAAUGAGUCCUUGAUUUAAGAGUUUGGUAAUACAGUACACGUUAGACGGGUACGUGAGAACUUUCUGUGAAUCAUUCGGAUUCAUAAGUUAUUUGAUGUGAUUUUCCGAAGUUAGAAUUAUUGAGAGUUUAUGGGAAAAUCAGAAUUUUUGUAUUUUGAGUAAUCUGGACCGUUGAAUCUCACCAUUGAACCACAGCCCUUGGAUUUGAAUUACUAAGACUUGAUAUAUAUUAGAAGCUGGUUCAGAUUGGGGCUUAAAAGCCCAGAACUCUAUCGAGCUCCACCCGAAGCAGCUCGUUGCCGACCCAAAACCCGCGCACGCCAAUCCGGCGAUUCCGCCGCCGUCAGCCCAUCCCUGGCCGGCGCACAAGUCCGAGCUUCUUCAUCUCGGUGUCCUCUUCCUUCCUAUGGUGGUGGUUGAUCCUAUUGUCGCCGGUAGGAGGGAGAAUCGCGGAAAGGAAGCUCAACCUGUUUUGAGUUUCAUCGGAGACUUGGCAGCCUUUUCGGCGACUCCGACCACCAUUGGAUUUCUCCUGGUAUUUUUCUUCUUCUCCUCUCUGUGCUCUUCACGCCCAUGACUUUAGUUCAUCGAUUUGAUUAAGGUUUGAUCGAUUUUGUAUUUCUGGGUUUUCUUCUGCUCGUCUCGUUCUUCGACGCUCGUGGCUUCUCGUGGCGCGGUUUCAUUCCGCCUUGUGUUCUGCAUCUGAGCCUUCAAGUGAAUUAGAGGCUGAUUUCCAGAGGGGAUGGUUAAGAGGGAAAAGCUUGGAGAUGACUUUGUUAUUAUGAGUUCGUCAGAGAAAAGCUUUCGGCAAAUUGAGGCUUUGUAAUGAAUUAAGGGACUCCAAUUACUCGAGGAGUGGAAAUGGAAAGCUUGUGACUCGCUGAGAGCGAGGGAAAGCACUGGAAUCCUGACUUACUGGAAUCACUCCAUCCAGCAGGCUAACAUCAAGAACUUGAGCAAUGAAACCGGGACCAAUUCCUUGGAUCAGAUGCAUUCCUAUGAAUCAACAUAGGAGGAUGAAGUUUCAAAUACUGUAAAAUGGCAUAAUGCGUAA